GGAUUUAUAUUCAAUAUUGAUUUUAAAUUGCAAGUUUAAAGGUGUAAUUAUUACUAAGUCCU
rnacentral:tRNA from 1 species